rnacentral:rRNA from 1 species
UACGUAGGGUGCAAGCGUUGUCCGGAAUUAUUGGGCGUAAAGAGCUCGUAGGCGGUCUGUUGCGUCCGCUGUGAAAACUCGGGGCUUAACCCCGAGCCUGCAGUGGAUACGGGCAGACUAGAGGUAGGUAGGGGAGAAUGGAAUUCCCGGUGUAGCGGUGAAAUGCGCAGAUAUCGGGAGGAACACCGGUGGCGAAGGCGGUCUCUGGGCCUUACCUGACGCUGAGGAGCGAAAGCGUGGGGAGCGAACGG